UAGGGAAUCUUCCGCAAUGGGCGAAAGCCUGAUGGAGCAACGCCGCGUGAGUGAUGAAGGUCUUCGGAUCGUAAAACUCUGUUAUCAGGGAAGAACAAAUGUGUAAGUAAAUAUGCACGUCUUGACGGUACCUAAUCAGAAAGCCACGGCUAACUACGUGCCAGCAGCCGCGGUAAUACGUAGGUGGCAAGCGUUAUCCGGAAUUAUUGGGCGUAAAGCGCGCGUAGGCGGUUUUUUAAGUCUGAUGUGAAAGCCCACGGCUCAACCGUGGAGGGUCAUUGGAAACUGGAAAACUUGAGUGCAGAAGAGGAAAGUGGAAUUCCAUGUGUAGCGGUGAAAUGCGCAGAGAUAUGGAGGAACACCAGUGGCGAAGGCGACUUUCUGGUCUGUAACUGACGCUGAUGUGCGAAAGCGUGGGGAUCAAACAGG
rnacentral:rRNA from 1 species